CUAUCAUGCAGCCGAACGCGUUGGCCCAAUUGAUUGAUGGUGCUUGCACCUGAUUGAUUUUGGCCGCCAACGAGUGGCGGACGGGUGAGUAACACGUAGGUAACCUGCCCAGAAGCGGGGGACAACAUUUGGAAACAGAUGCUAAUACCGCAUAACAACGUCGUUCGCAUGAACAACGCUUAAAAGAUGGCUUCUCGCUAUCACUUCUGGAUGGACCUGCGGUGCAUUAGCUUGUUGGUGGGGUAAUGGCCUACCAAGGCGAUGAUGCAUAGCCGAGUUGAGAGACUGAUCGGCCACAAUGGGACUGAGACACGGCCCAUACUCCUACGGGAGGCAGCAGUAGGGAAUCUUCCACAAUGGGCGCAAGCCUGAUGGAGCAACACCGCGUGAGUGAAGAAGGGUUUCGGCUCGUAAAGCUCUGUUGUUAAAGAAGAACACGUAUGAGAGUAACUGUUCAUACGUUGACGGUAUUUAACCAGAAAGUCACGGCUAACUACGUGCCAGCAGCCGCGGUAAUACGUAGGUGGCAAGCGUUAUCCGGAUUUAUUGGGCGUAAAGAGAGUGCAGGCGGUUUUCUAAGUCUGAUGUGAAAGCCUUCGGCUUAACUGGAGAAGUGCAUCGGAAACUGGAUAACUUGAGUGCAGAAGAGGGUAGUGGAACUCCAUGUGUAGCGGUGGAAUGCGUAGAUAUAUGGAAGAACACCAGUGGCGAAGGCGGCUACCUGGUCUGCAACUGACGCUGAGACUCGAAAGCAUGGGUAGCGAACAGGAUUAGAUACCCUGGUAGUCCAUGCCGUAAACGAUGAGUGCUAGGUGUUGGAGGGUUUCCGCCCUUCAGUGCCGGAGCUAACGCAUUAAGCACUCC
rnacentral:rRNA from 1 species